GCAAGAGUCUGCCCUUUUCUCCUAAACCCUUCAGGUAUUUCAGCCAACCACAAGUAUUACUGAAGGAUUAGAAAAUAAGAUGACUUGGUACGGAUAUCUGGAUUUUAGGAUAAAUGUUUUACAUUCACAAAUUAUGCAAACUAUGGAUCUUCUGUUGUGGCUGAAUCCCAGGAAGCAGCUACCCGUCAGUAACUCCCAGGGAGGGCAGCUGCUGUUUUACUGUCUGAGGCACAGGAGCACAAGAAAUGUAAGCACUGAGGAUUAGGGAAUCAGAGAUUGCCUCCCACAGCCAAGAUCCAAGAGCAGUAUCCCAGUUCUACCCCAAGGCAACACAUGAAUGAGUAGCAUCUCACAGUUGCUGCUAGGAAAGAGCUGUGGGCAGCUGAGGAUCAGAGACUCAGGGAGCACUGAGUCCCUUCUCCUCCUGCCCCAGGUACCUCUGGAGCAGCCCCACUGUCUGCCUUGUCCCUGUGGAAGGUCACAAGCAGCAAAUAAUAUCUUCUAGACUUCCCUG
rnacentral:lncRNA from 1 species